CAGCAGCAGCCGCGGUAAUACAGAGGGUGCGAGCGUUAAUCGGAUUUACUGGGCGUAAAGCGUGCGUAGGCGGCUUCUUAAGUCGGAUGUGAAAUCCCUAAGCUUAACUUAGGAAUUGCAUUCGAUACUGGGAAGCUAGAGUAUGGGAGAGGAUGGUAGAAUUCCAGGUGUAGCGGUGAAAUGCGUAGAGAUCUGGAGGAAUACCGAUGGCGAAGGCAGCCAUCUGGCCUAAUACUGACGCUGAGGUACGAAAGCAUGGGGAGCAAACAGGAUUAGAUACCCCUGUAGUCCCUGUCUCUUAUAC
rnacentral:rRNA from 1 species